UACGGAGGGUGCAAGCGUUAUCCGGAUUUACUGGGUUUAAAGGGUGUGUAGGCGGACUUUUAAGUCAGCGGUGAAAUCUCCGGGCUCAACCCGGAAACUGCCAUUGAUACUAUUAGUCUUGAAUCUUGUUGAGGUAGGCGGAACGGGUCAUGUAGCGGUGAAAUGCAUAGAUAUGACCCGGAACACCGAUUGCGAAGGCAGCCUACUAAGCAAGUAUUGACGCUGAGGCACGGAAAGCGUGGGGGAUCAAACAGG
rnacentral:rRNA from 1 species